rnacentral:rRNA from 1 species
AACGAACGCUGGCGGCAGGCUUAACACAUGCAAGUCGAACGGGUGUAGCAAUACAUCAGUGGCAGACGGGUGAGUAACACGUGGGAACCUUCCUAGGGGUACGGAACAACUCAGGGAAACUUGAGCUAAUACCGUAUACGUCCGUGAGGAGAAAGAUUUAUCGCCCUUAGACGGGCCCGCGUCGGAUUAGCUAGUUGGUGGGGUAACGGCCUACCAAGGCGACGAUCCGUAGCUGAUCUUAGAGGAUGAUCAGCCACACUGGGACUGAGACACGGCCCAGACUCCUACGGGAGGCGGCAGUGGGGAAUCUUGGACAAUGGGCGCAAGCCUGAUCCAGCCAUGCCGCGUGUGUGAAGAAGGUCUUCGGAUUGUAAAGCUCUUUUGCCAGGGACGAUAAUGACGGUACCUGGAGAAUAAGCCCCGGCAAACUUCGUGCCAGCCGCCGCCGUAACAC